rnacentral:rRNA from 1 species
AAGGGUGCAGGGCGGAUGCCUUGGCACUAGGAGCCGAUGAAGGACGUGAUAAGCUGCGAUAAGCUUCGGGGAGUUGCACGUAAACUUUGAUCCGAAGAUUUCCGAAUGAGGAAACUCACUUAGAGUAAUGUCUAAGUAUCAUUAAGUGAAUACAUAGCUUAAUGAGGGGAACUCAGGGAACUGAAACAUCUAAGUACCUGAAGGAAGAGAAAGAAAUUCGAUUCCGUAAGUAGCGGCGAGCGAACGCGGAUUAGCCCAAACCAAUAAAGUUUUCUUUAUUGGGGUUGCGGACAUAUCAUAACGAAGAGGUAUCGUAAUUGAAGAGGUUUGGAAAGACCCACCACA